rnacentral:rRNA from 1 species
UAACACGUGGAUAACCUACCUAUAAGACUGGGAUAACUUCGGGAAACCGGAGCUAAUACCGGAUGAUAUUUUGAACCGCAUGGUCCAAAAGUGAAAGACGGUCUUGCUGUCACUUAUAGAUGGAUCCGCGCUGCAUUAGCUAGUUGGUAAGGUAACGGCUUACCAAGGCAACGAUGCAUAGCCGACCUGAGAGGGUGAUUGGCCACACUGGAACUGAGACACGGUCCAG